rnacentral:rRNA from 1 species
GACGAACGCUGGCGGCGUGCUUAACACAUGCAAGUCGAGCGGUAAGGCCCUUUCGGGGGUACACGAGCGGCGAACGGGUGAGUAACACGUGGGUGACCUGCCCUUAGCGUCUGGGAUAAGCCUGGGAAACUGGGUCUAAUACCGGAUAUGACUCCAUGACGCAUGUUGUGGGGUGGAAAGCCUUGUGCGGCUAGGGAUGGGCCCGCGGCCUAUCAGCUUGUUGGUGGGUGAUGGCCUACCAAGGCGACGACGGGUAGCCGGCCUGAGAGGGCGACCGGCCACACUGGGA